CAUGCAGUCGAGCGGCAGCGGGUCCUUCGGGAUGCCGGCGAGCGGCGGACGGGUGAGUAAUGCCUAGGAAUCUGCCUGGUAGUGGGGGAUAACGUUCGGAAACGGGCGCUAAUACCGCAUACGUCCUACGGGAGAAAGUGGGGGAUCUUCGGACCUCACGCUAUCAGAUGAGCCUAGGUCGGAUUAGCUAGUUGGUGGGGUAAUGGCUCACCAAGGCGACGAUCCGUAACUGGUCUGAGAGGAUGAUCAGUCACACUGGAACUGAGACACGGUCCAGACUCCUACGGGAGGCAGCAGUGGGGAAUAUUGGACAAUGGGCGAAAGCCUGAUCCAGCCAUGCCGCGUGUGUGAAGAAGGUCUUCGGAUUGUAAAGCACUUUAAGUUGGGAGGAAGGGCAGUAAGUUAAUACCUUGCUGUUUUGACGUUACCNACAGAAUAAGCACCGGCUAACUUCGUGCCNGCAGCCGCGGUAAUACGAANGGGUGCAAGCGUUAAUCGGAAUUACUGGGCGUAAAGCGCGCGUAGGUGGNUNCAGCAAGUUGGAGGUGAAAUCCCCGGGCUCAACCUGGGAACUGCCUCCAAAACUACUGAGCUA
rnacentral:rRNA from 1 species